AAUUCAUGUUUUCGUAAAAAAAUAGAAAUCUUUUUGUUUGUGAAGAACAGUUUUCGCCUCUCUCGAAGACAACGAACCCUAAAUCACGUUACUGCGACUUCUCCGUCAUCUUUACCCCCAAGGUGGUAAACUUCUUCUCCGUCAAAGUGAAUAUCAAACCUCACAAUCAUCAUCAGAGUUCUCAUGAUUCGUUUCCAAUAUAACACCAAUCAUUCCAUUUUCUGGUGUUAAAGAUGAUAGAGUCAGUUUGCUUCCACCCAAGAAAUUCAAGACAAAAUAGGAAGGAUAGAAAAUAAUAUUUUGAUUAUGAUGCCAAGGUUAAGAGACUCAAGACCAAGGUUAUGGGAUCAAAAUUCUCAAUUUCACUCAUGUGGGUGAAACAGACUCAAGACAGGACAAGAGCAAGAGACGGAAACAAGCUCAAGAGGAGACAUGAGCAUGAGUCUGUUGAGAUGGGGAUUGAGUUUCUUCUCUAUUGUAGUUGCACGGCUUGUAACACUCAAAGCUUUAGUAUCUUGAAAUGAACAAAGGAAAACCAGAUACCUUAUUGUUCCUAAAAUUUAAUUGGCGUUGUAACAAAUUUAAAUUAUUCUUCUCAUC